GUAGUCUGCAACCCGACUACAUGAAGCUGGAAUCGCUAGUAAUCGCGGAUCAGAAUGCCGCGGUGAAUACGUUCCCGGGUCUUGUACACACCGCCCGUCACACCAUGGGAGUCGGAAAUGCCCGAAGCCGGUGACCCAACCAAAAGGAGGGAGCCGUCGAAGGCAGGUCUGAUAACUGGGGUGAAGUCGUAACAAGGUAAC
rnacentral:rRNA from 1 species